CUUGAAGUUGCUAUAGUCUUCUAUUGAGAAAUAUGUGGAAGUACCCAGAGGAUCUCUUAACUUCCAGAAACAUUCUGUACAGAACAGUAUAACUCUGUAUUUUGCUGUGUCAAUAAGAACCAAUCAGUGCAUAUGAGCUAUGACAUGCAGAUAUAGGAUGUAUUAAUCAUAUUAAUCAGUUCACAAAGAGCCAAAACGUAAUUAUAAAGAUCAUAGAAUCAUUAGCAAUGUUCAUAGAAUGCCACAAUCGUGCUCCAGUGGAGAGCCCCUACCCACUCCAUUGCUGCUGCUAACAGUAUGUGGCUCAUGUCUGGCACAGGAUGCUUGCCCUAGGACAUCAUCGCUCUUCUGAAAGAUGGCUGGCUGCCUGCCUCUCCACUGCUCUCCACCACAGAGAUCAUUCAGUGUUUCUCUCUUCACACUACAUCUCAAGAUCUUAUAAAGUGUGUUUGAUUUUAGGUCCUGCUAAUAUGCUUGUGCUCUGGCUUGCAGAAGUUAGACACAGGUCAAUUCCAGUGAGCACCUUUCAUUCUGUGCACAGCAUCUAUGCCCUCCAUCCUUUUCUUUUAGUUAAGUAUAUUUCAUCUCCCUGGGACGAGAAGACAUCCUCCUCCCAACAGUCUAUAUGGGAUUAUCUGUCCCUCUCUACCCGCAGCCAUGGAUGUAUUCACAGUAAAGCACUUCUCCCUGGUUUGUUUCUCUUGGGAUGGUAGGUUGAAGCUGCCAGGCAUGAGCCUGAAGCCAAGGGAGAUCACUAUACAGAGAGAAUGGCCUGGGAAUAAAAUCAAUACAGAGAAAGGCAGGGCUAAACAAGCCUGGGUGUGGUGGACAUGCUUAAGCCUCUGGAUCCAGUCCAGCCAACCCCAGGAAUUUUAACUGCUUGGGCCUCUCGGACUGUUUUGGUUUGGUUUGCCAUCACUUUUUGUGACUUUUCUGACAUCUGCAAGUGUCGGAAGUGUGACCUGAAACAUUUAAGGACACUUCUGCCUGAACCAUGGGCAGAUGUUUAGACUCCAAGAUACAGAGGAGGAGGGUCUUGGAGGUUUCUUAGUAUAAGUUCCUCCCUGUGGUACUUGCAGUUCCUACAAGGGGCUGUCAGAGAAACAAGCCGGAGCAGAAGAGCAAGACAUGGUCCUGGUGCAUGAAAGGAGCCUAAGAAAGAAGAGUGAAAGCUGCACGUGUGUGAGUAUCUAGCAGAACAUCUAGAAAAUGCACACCAACCUCCAGCAGCAGAAAACAGGUCAGCACUUGCUGGGACCAGGGCCGAGGGAAGGAAGCGUUGCAAAAGGACAUAGGCCGCUGUGGUGGGAACAGGGACAUCUGAUGCUUUGCCUCGGGAGUAUGUAUAUGUGCAUGUAUAUGUGUGUUUCCAAACACAUCCAGUUGUACACUUUAAAUAUGUAAAGUUUAUUGUACGUACAGUCUACCUCCAGAAAGCCAUAAAAGAGAAAAGAAUGUUGUACCAAACUAAGCAAAUGAAGCAUGAAAUGAAAAGCCGGUUGAGCUGGGAGGUAUAAAGAAUGGAAAGGAAGCAGCUACCACCCCUGGUAACCCCAUCAAUCCGGAGAAGCUUCGCAGAGUUACACUGUGCUCUGUCGGGAAGGAAAUGAAUUUUCCUCAUUGUACACAUUCCGAGAAAAAUGAGGCUAAGACUAUUUCAAAGGAUGUUCUACCUAAUUCGAAUGGGCUUUAAGUGCCAUCUUCACAAUAGCGCCAGAGUCUGGUGUCAGCAAACUGAACAAAUAGAGCUACAGGGAGCGAAUGGGGCUGGGUGCCUCUCCAAAACAUAUGCAGAUGAACUUGAGAUUUCAGAGGACGGUUAAUCCUACACAGCAGUCAAGUGCCUUCCCAGGGGUAUGUCUCAGAUCUCAGGUAAAUCGCUAUCUUUAUCGCAUUCCUUUCCCCCUGACUCGGAGCGAAUCUCCCAUUAAGCCUUCAUAAGCCCUUUUCAACUUAAAAUGGGACAUAGUAAUAUUAAAAAUGUGCAUUUAUUAAAUACUCUAUGAAAGUCACAAAAAUCUUCAAAAUAUUUUCCUUAGACACCUGGGACAGGAGCUGAGCUUCAGAAGCCAGGAUUCUCAAAAGUUUCCUUUGCUACAAUUUCAAUUACAGCCCCUCCCACCCCUCAGAGAGUCUGCCUGUUCCACUCUCUAGUCACCUCCCCCUCCCCCCACCCCAGUCACUAUAUUCUUUUGUUAUCAAAAGUAUAAACAGUUGUAUAAUAAGACACACAUUCCAGGGCUCCCUUCCAAACACUGGCUGCCACGUCAAACCAAAGGGGACGAGCAAUCAGACUCACCUCAAACGCCAGUUAAGAAAGCCGGCCUUACUUAAGCAAUCAAGGGCAAGUGAUCAGCCAACUCUGCUUUCUUUCCUUUCUCUUGGAUCAUUUAUAGACCUUGUGGCCGUGGCCACCACAUUGAGAAGCCCUUGGUCUCUACUUGGACUCACUAUAGCAGGUAACUAUUACAGUACAGGGCAGAGUGCUGUGUUCUUUCUGCAGGUCACUGCUUCAUAGAUUUGGAGUGAGUUAGCCUUCCUACUCAACCGCCUCCCCCCACAAUCAACACACACACACACACACACACACACACACACACACACACACACACACACGGCUACUUUGCACACUGGCCUUAUGGGACUGAAUGUGUCCCCCUCAGUCAAGGUGUACCCCUCCCAGCGAGGCUGGCCAUCUACAACAGCAACAUUUUGGUGUCACUGAGCUGACUGUCAUUUGUAGCUGGUGAGGCUAACUGCAAUUUACAGCAUUGAUUAUAACUUUGUCACAGAUCAAGGUUCGGGCCACCUCCCUUACCCCCGUUCUCUGAUGAAACUCUGGGGAGGGGAUUUCUGCCUGAACAACUCCUCGUGAAGCUGGCAAAGCCUGAGAUGGGCCCACCCUCCCCUGGGUAGAAAAGACAAUCCAGAAUGCAGCAGCAUUCGUGAGCCUUAUUCCUGCCUUCCUACCAAUUGUGUGAAUGGUGUCUGUGCUUGGCUUCCCUCUGGCCUGGGGUACCACAGUCUGGCAACAGAGCAAUGUUUGUGCCCACAUAAUGUCCUGUGAUUAAAAGAAAAAAAAUUAAUCACUACCUCUCAAAUAGCCAAAAUAAACAAACAAAAGUCUAAGCUUUUACAAAUGGAAUUCAGGCUUGUAUCUUGAAUGUUAGGAUUCUGAAGGAGCCUGUAUAAAAUGAUUGCUCAUGAGAUUAACUUAAUUUACCAUAAAUCCUGCCCUCUCUCUCUCCAUCUUCCUCUCUCUCAUCAAGAGCUUCAUGAAAAGAGGCAAAAUUGGGUCAGAGUUGGAGAAGGCUGAGAAUGAAUAGAAAAACCGAUAAAAUUAAAACUUUAAAUGUUUUCACAUUCUUUCUUCCUCCUCAGUCCAUAAACUCUCCCUCUACACAAAUGAAGCAGGUCAACAGUUCUUACAGCUUCCUCUUUGAAAUGAGGUCAGGAUGCCACACUGGACUCUGUCUCUCUGUCUCCCUCUGUCUCUCUCUAUUUCUCUCUCUCUCUCUCUCUCUCUCUCUCUCUCUCUCUCUUUCCCCCCUCCCGUCUUUCCUAAACUUUUCUCCGUAGUGUAGUAAACAUGGAGACACAGAGAAGUAGGAAACACUAAAA